GCAUAUAUUGAGAGUCUUUGUAAACAAAAAUGCAAUAUCGCAUGUAAACACGAACUUCAAUCAUGGGAACGCUUCAAGACGAGUUGAUCUUUCUUCCAUGAACAACGGACAAGCUCAAGAGUAAAAGCAACCAAACAAAAAGCAGCUUUAAUAUAAAUAUAAACCAAUAUCUGUAAACAAUCAAAUUCAAUGCAUAAUCACGAAGCAAACAGCUAAAAUACAACGACCCAAGUCCACCAGAAACCCAAUUUACAAAUUCAGGUGCUUCAAAAUGACACCGGAAACACUCAAUUUUACACAUACAAUACAAAUUAAAGGGCGGGUUUAAGAGCAAUCGAUUUAAACCUCUGAAGAAGAAUGUUGAGAAGGUAGCGAGAGAAAGUGGUUUUGCCACAGUUUUUGGCUCCACAGAUUAAGGCAAUAGGACGGGGUGCAGUAGCGGAAUAGUACGUUAUGGUGCGUGCUCCUCUGCCCCUUCCUCCGGUAUAUGUACGGUCGGUGUCGGGUGUUCCGUCACUGAUAUGAAAGCCAUAGCAUUCUCUUUUAUCUCUACGUGGACGCUGCACACUUGGGAUUUCUCUUGUUUUAUUUGUGUGCUUUCCGACUGGCGUUUGGAAACUG
rnacentral:lncRNA from 1 species